GCUUUUUCCUCGGUUCAAUACAUAAUGACCGAGGCCAACUUUGGUUGGUUAAUCCGAUCCGUUCAUCGAUGGUCAGCAAGUAUGAUGGUUUUAAUGAUGAUCCUGCAUGUAUUUCGUGUGUAUCUCACAGGGGGAUUUAAAAAACCCCGUGAAUUAACUUGGGUCACAGGUGUGGUUUUGGCUGUUUUGACUGCAUCAUUUGGUGUAACUGGUUAUUCUUUGCCUUGGGAUCAAAUUGGCUAUUGGGCAGUCAAAAUUGUGACAGGUGUACCUGACGCCAUUCCGGUAAUAGGAUCGCCUUUAGUGGAGUUAUUACGCGGAAGUGCUAGUGUGGGCCAAUCCACUUUGACUCGUUUUUAUAGUUUACAUACCUUUGUACUGCCUCUGCUUACUGCCGUAUUUAUGUUAAUGCACUUUCCAAUGAUACGCAAGCAAGGUAUUUCGGGUCCUUUAUAG
rnacentral:rRNA from 1 species